GAGAGAGAGAGAGUGAGAGAGAGAGAGAGAGAGAGGGAGAGAGAGGGAGAGAGAGAGAGAGUGAGAGAGAGACAGACAGGCAGACGGAGAGAGAGAGAGACAGACAGGCAGAGAGAGAGAAUAUGCAAUAACAUUUCUAGCCUGUUAAUACACCCUACCAGCUUGUUCAGAAAGCUCUCGGAAGCGAGCUCAUCUCUUCCGCCGUUACAUUAGUUGCUCAAUUCCCCGUGAGGCAGCGCGUAUGAGGUCGCUUCGCUGGAUACACCAUUACUCAUAUACCAGCAUGACGUUUUCUGUCGCUGCUCAUAACUCCCUGACGUCAGUGCUAAUUUAACACACUCUGUGCCUCAAUGUCAGUUUAAAAUACACACCGCUAGAACCAAAAGAACCAAACAGAGGAGGAGCCCCCCCGGCGUCCUGCCGAAAUCCCCCGUUGACCCUUAUCCAUCACGGCCCCCUAAUAAUCCCCAUCCCUGAACUGGCUACAUCACUCUCUCCUCUCCACUAAUAGCCGGUGUGGUGGGCGUCCUGGCGCGCUAUGGCUGCCGUCACAUCAUCCAGGUGGAUGCUACACACUGGUGGUGGUUGAGUAGACCCCCCCCCCCCCCCCUUCCCCAAUCUAAAGCGCUUUGAGUGUCUAGAAAAGCGCUAUAUAAAUGUAAGGAAUUCGAAGAGAUGAGAGGAAAGGAGAGAAAAAAAGCACUUAAUUCGCUCAACCCUGAUCCGCAGGAAGUGAAAUGUUUAAUCUACACAAGUCUGAUGUAUCCUGGGUACUUCCCUUUAAAAAAAAAUUCAUUCGGUCAUUGAUUGAUUGAUUGAUUGAUUGGUGGUGAUACAGUGGUGCACAGCUAUGGUCUCAGAUCUGAUCUCAGGUCAGGUCUUUCUAUAUGGAGCACGUUCUCCACGUGUCCUCCAGGUUCUCGGGUUCCCUCCCAUCUCCCGAAAACAAGCUAAUUAGUGAACUAGCCACAAUAAAUGACCACUAGUCAUUAGUGAAGGCGUAUGCACGAUGCCCCAGCCUCGUCUCAAGUGUUCCUGGGAUUACCUCCAGACCCAGCACAGCCCUGACCGGGAAAACGUGGUGUCUGAAGACAAACAAACGAAUAAAUGCACCGAUUUAUUAUUUAUUUAAUCACAAACUCGGUUACUGUCAAAUGUUUUGGUCCGUUUUUUUUUUGUUGUUUUUUUUUAAACGUACAUAAACUGUUAAGUUACCUUCAAAACGUACGUAUCCGUACGUACUCUACAGGAUACAAUUCCGACUCUGAAGACGAAACGUCGACCCGAAGAUGAACGCGCACGUUCGAACGCGAAACACUGUGCGAGAUGGGAUUUUAAGAUGUUUAGCGAGUGCUAGCACCGAUUCGAAUUGAAAACGUACCGUUGCGCCAAAACAAAAACAAACAAAAAAAAAACACGACACGCGAGACAUCACCGACGCACAACACGGACGUCAUCGGCGUAUUAAAACUCGCUUCUCCGCAGAACGAGUGAGGCGCCGAGUAGAAUGCUAAGUCGCGUCGCGGACGCGCGCUCUCCGUGACGACGCGCUACAGGACACGGAUGACGGGUGACUAAACCAGAAAGGAUUCACGGCACCGUAUCGCGGUCCGUUUUAUCUAUUGUUAUUUAUUGCUUGCGGGGCUUUGAUCACUCAUACCUCAUUUAUUCCGCAUACCUGCUUUCUUUACGUUCCGACGUCCGACGUUCUUAAGAUUCAGAAAAAUCUCCUCGCUCUUUGAAAGCGUGUACUCGCGUUAGAUCAGCGGUAUGAACUUACACACACGAUGACACCGUCUCUCGCCAUUAUCUCUGGAACCGAUACGUCGUCCAACUAAAGUAUUCCACGGUAUUUUACAUUUUAAGGUGAUUUACGGAUGAUGGUUAAGGGUAAGAGGUUUAAACGCUACACUUCCCGCACCUUUCUAGGUAAGACGACACGCACUAAAAAAGGUACCACCCCAGUGACGAAGAACGGUACACUUCAGUAUCCUUUUGUUUUGUAGCGUUUACUUUUCCAUUUUCCUAUAUAUAUAUAUAUUUUAAUUCUGGUUUGGACUAAUAGGUAAAUAAAUAAAUAAAUAAAUAAAUCCUCCUCAGACAGUAGGAUCUUUCAUAUCGGUUCUAACCAGCUUUACUGUUUACUUCUGUCCAGGGACGAUAAGGUACAUCUACAAGAUCAAGGGGGGGGGGGGGGGGGGGGGGGAAGAGUCUGCAUCAUCAGAAAGCAUGCACACAUAUCGACCUCAUCCUAAUCAUCACUGCUUGUUCAAUCUGGUUGUGUCAGGCGGAUCCCGGACAGACGCCAAGACCUCCAAAAGACAGAAAACUCCCAGCAGGGAUUAGAGGAUUAUAACCUAGACAACACUAUCGGGCUGGUGGUAAACAAUCUGUCAAUCUCUCUGUGUGUGUGUGUGUGUGUGUGAGACUUGGGCUUAGGAUUGU
ensembl:lncRNA